rnacentral:rRNA from 1 species
UACGUAGGGGGCAAGCGUUGUCCGGACUUAUUGGGCGUAAAGAGCUCGUAGGCGGUUCGUCGCGUCGGCUGUGAAAACCCGGAGCUCAACUCCGGGCCUGCAGUCGAUACGGGCGGACUUGAGUGUUGCAGGGGAGACUGGAAUUCCUGGUGUAGCGGUGAAAUGCGCAGAUAUCAGGAGGAACACCGGUGGCGAAGGCGGGUCUCUGGGCCGUAACUGACGCUGAGGAGCGAAAGCGUGGGGAGCGAACAGG